AAAUUUUUCGAAAUAUUACUUUACUAUCACCUCAGCAGUGUUCACCUUCUCCAACAUCUAUGAGCGUCAUUUCGACGUAGGUUUUUCUAGGAAAAUUAUCUCUUUCAUAUAGGUACUUUUUAGAUUAGAUAAACCACAAUUUUCAACACUUCAUACAAAUAUAGAAUAAUAAUUUCAGCGUAAAACAGAGAAAGUUUUCAAAUUAGUGAAAAAGGAGGACAUUGUCUGUGCAUCAAAAUGAUUCGCUGUACAAUUUUCAUUCUCAUUUUGAGUGUAAUUCUAUGUAUAGGAUUUUUACCAGGAGUUGAUUCGACAUACGAUUUUUAUGGCAACCAUUUGGCACUGAGUAUUUACUUUUUUUGGUUCUUGGGACAAUCAAUGCAAAAAUAUCCACCAUUGUCGAAAUUUUUUUACGGAAUAGCUGAUAAGUAUUACGAAGCACUAGAGAAACAUUUUAAGGAGCAAGGAGGAUCUAGAUGAAAAAAAUAAAUAGUCCAGAAAAAUAAUAUUACCUACAUAAAUAAGUUCAGAAUGUCUAAAUAGUGGUACUGAAAUAAUUCAUAGAAUACGUAUAGAUAAAAUUAAUUUUAUCCUUUAUUUUUUAAUGUCGAAAAAGCUUGUAUUGUUCAAAUUUCGAAAUAUUAUUUUACUAUCACUACAGCAGUAUUCACUUUCUCUAACAUCUAUAUGAGCGUCAUUUCAACAUAAAAAUUUUCUAGGAAAAUUAUCUUUUUCAUAUAUUAGAUUAGAUAAACCUCAAUUUUCGACACUUCGUGCAAUCAACGUACCUAUAGAAUAAUUUCAGCGUAAAACAGAGAAAGUUUUCAAAUUAGUGAAAAAGGAGGACAUUGUCUGUGCAUCAAAAUGCUUCGCUACACAAUUUUCAUCCUCAUUUUGAGCGUUAUUCUAUACAUAGGAUUACUACCAGGAGUUGAUUCGACAUACCAUUUUUAUGGCAAUUAUUUGCAAUUUAAUGUUUACCUUUUCUGGUUCUUGGCACAAUGGACGCAAAAGUUUCCACCAUUGUCGAAAUUUUUCAUCAAAAUAUCUAAAAAGUUUCUCAAAGCAUAUUAUAAGGCUCCAUCUUAAGGAUCAAGAAGGAUCUUAGUGAAAAAAAUAUAAAUAUUUCAGAAAAAUAAUAUUACAUACCUACUUAAAUAAGUUUAGAAUAUAUACCGAUCUAAAUAGUGGCCUUGAAAUUUAUACUUACAUAGAAUACGUAUUAAAUAGAU